GCGUUGUUAGCUUAAUGGAUAGAGCAACCGCCCCCGAAGCGGUAGGCUGCUGGUUCGAUUCCGGCACAACGCA
rnacentral:tRNA from 1 species